CCUACGGGGUGCUGCAGUGGGGAAUAUUGCACAAUGGGCGAAAGCCUGAUGCAGCAACGCCGCGUGAAGGAAGAAGGGUUUCGGCUCGUAAACUUCUAUCAACAGGGACGAAAGAAAUGACGGUACCUGAAUAAGAAGCCCCGGCUAACUACGUGCCAGCAGCCGCGGUAAUACGUAGGGGGCAAGCGUUAUCCGGAAUUACUGGGUAUAAAGGGUGAGUAGGGGGCGUGGUAAGGGAGAUGUGAAAGCGUUGGGCUUAACCCGAAGAUUGGAUUUGGAACUAUAAAGCUAGAGUACAGGAGAGGAAAGCGGAAUUCCUAGUGUAGCGGUGAAAUGCGUAGAUAUUAGGAGGAACACCGGUGGCGAAGGCGGCCUGCUGGACUGUGACUGACGUUGAGGCCCGAAGGCGUGGGGAGCAAACAGGAUUAGAUACCCGUGUAGUC
rnacentral:rRNA from 1 species